AUAUUUUCUUUGUACUCUUUGCACUUCUGUCACUAUAAACCAAGUCAGAUACGCCUCUCAGCAUUUCUUUCCCUGCUUUUCUGCUUAGGUAAAUGCAGAAACAAUUCUAUGGGGAAUUGUUGGAGUCUUCAAUCAGGUUCUCCAGGCGAUCAUCCCAACUCCAAUACUGCCCCCAACCUCAACAAUCAAUCAGGGAAUAUUCAAUUUUCUGCUGGUCUAAGCAACACAAGAUUAACACAGAAUGGCAAUUCUACUUCUCUUGGGCGUAGCAGCCACUCUGGAGGAAUCAGCAGCAGGUUCUUUGGGCCAAGUAGUAGUAAUAACUACUCAACUGGAAAUAACACUAGCACAUCCCUUUGGGGAGGCUCUGAGACUAGCCAAGCCUCUCGAGUUAGAGAUGAAGAGGAGUUUCCUCAAGGGCAGAUCUUGGAUAAUGUUGACUUGAGAGCAUUUACUUUGGCAGAACUGAAGGUAGCCACCAAAAAUUUCAGAGCUGAGACUGUGAUAGGAGAGGGGGGGUUUGGUAAAGUAUACAAGGGCUUGAUUGAUGAUAGAGCAGCAAAAAAAAGAGGUGAGGGGUUGACUGUUGCCAUCAAGAAAUUGAAUUCUGAAAGCAACCAAGGAAUUGUGGAAUGGCAGUCAGAGGUGAAUUUCUUAGGGAGGCUUUCUCACCCCAACCUUGUUAAGUUGUUGGGAUUUGGGCUAGAGGAUACUGAACUGUUCCUGGUGUAUGAAUUUAUGCAUCGUGGCAGCUUGGAUAACCACCUAUAUGGAAGAGGUGCAAAUGUUCGGUCACUUUCUUGGGAUACAAGGCUAAAGACUAUGAUUGGAACAGCUAGGGGACUGAAUUUCCUUCACUCCUUGGAGAAGAAAAUUAUAUAUAGAGAUGUCAAACCCUCAAAUAUACUACUUGACAAGCAUUAUACAGUCAAGUUAUCAGACUUUGGCUUAGCUAAAUCUGUGAAUUCGCCUGAUCAUAGUCACAUAACAACACGGAUUAUGGGGACAUAUGGCUACGCUGCUCCUGAGUACGUUGCAACAGGUCAUUUGUACGUGAAAAGUGAUGUGUAUGGAUUUGGAAUUGUUUUGGUGGAGGUGCUGACGGGCAAGAGGAUAAGGGAUAUAUUGGACCAGUGUCAGAAAAUGUCCUUGAGAGAUUGGCUCAAAACAAAUCUAUUAAGUAGAGCAAAAAUAAGAAGCACCAUGGAUGCAAAGUUAGAAGGAAGGUAUCCAAACAAUUUAGCUUUACAAUUAGCUGAACUAGCUCUCAAAUGCAUCCAAACAGAUCCCAAAGUCAGGCCAUCAAUGAAUGAAGUUGUUGAAACAUUGGAACAGAUUGAAGCAGCCAAUGAGAAACCAGCUGAUAACAGAAGACGGGUUACUCGUACCCGGGUAGUUCAACAACAUGGAGGGCCUGAUGGUGGUUAAUUGAAUUAAACACAUCUACACCAUAUUCUUUGCAGCUGAUGGAUUGUGGACUUGAAGAGCUUAUUGCUCUAGUGGCCUAGGGGGGUUGAGCUUGUAUAGUAUAACAUACACAUAUAUGAAAAGGAUCAGGGUUGAGCCUGUGACAUUUGGCUUUAUGUGCACCCCAAAGCUAGGAGAAAGAGACUUCAAACUAGGUCGUCCCCAGGCAUUGAUAAGCAAGCAGAGACUAGUCUUCGGAAUGCAGUCAAUUGUCUUCCACACAUUGUUCCAUUCCAGAAACUAGUUUCCAGAAUGCACAUCUCCAGCAACACACUUAGGUAGUCCAACCCUGCCUAUAUGUUAAAAGACAGGGUGCACUUCUUCCUCACAUUGCAGAUUCGCCCCAAACACACGCACACCAUAAUUUCACAUACAAUUAUCGUAACAUAUUAUUUUCUUGGAUCAAUUUUUUUAUUAUGGACAAUUCCAACGUAUGACCCGUA